UAGCCCGGCACCCGCCUUCCCCUCAGCCCUCGUUCGGCAUCGCAGCGCUGGGUGCUGUAGACGGCGACUGUUCGUGAGCGCGAAAAGAUCAUGAUGCACUAAUGCCAGUUCAUUCUUUGCUCCCCUCCUGGAGCAAUGCCUACUGAUCCCUUCCAAGAGAAAAUCUGGGUGCAGAAGGCAGAUGUUUUCUCCAGUGUCCAGCGAAGCCAAAUAGCAUGAAUGGAAAGUUGCAUCAAGUUUGUUUUUCUUCACCUGAGACAGCAUUCCAGUGUUAUCAUGGAUUCUCUGGAUGAGGCCUGAAAAGACACAGCAUGUUCCCAAGUUACAUGCAAGUUUUGCUGUAUACCUACAUUUUGAUUGGCACCAGCAUUUGAGAGAUCUGUUGAGAAACAAAUCUGCUUCUUCAAGGAGAUGUGUCUACGUGGCAGUGACAGUGCCUGACAGCUCUGCUCUGUGUGGUGGCAGCCAUCUCCUGCAACUUCUCAGUAGGACUUUUAUUUAUUUUUCAGAUAUAAAUUAGUUUCUUCAGGUCUAACAUUGCCUAUGUCAUAAGUUCUGAUACCUUUAUUUAAUUUUCAUUUUAGUCUGUUUUUUAAAUGAGCACAAGUGAGAUGAUAACCUUGCCUAGCUAAAGCCCUUAGCUUAUAAGGAGUGGCAGAUAUUUCUGAGGUGAUCAUCUGAUACAGCAAUUUGACAUGGUGGAAAGUCUGGUUCCUACUUUAACAAACUGGAAUUGGAAAAUGCUUCUCACUUAUUGCAUAUCCCUAUGUGGCAAAGCAAAGAUGACUAUGAUUAUGUACC